rnacentral:rRNA from 1 species
UACGAAGGGGGCAAGCGUUGUCCGGAUUUAUUGGGCGUAAAGCGCUCGCAGGUGGUUCGAUACGUCGUGCGUGAAAGACCCCGGCUCAACUGGGGAGUGUCGUGCGAUACGGUCGGACUGGAGGCCAGUAGGGGGAUGCGGAAUUCCGGGUGUAGUGGUGGAAUGCGUAGAGAUCCGGAGGAACACCAGCGGCGAAGGCGGCAUCCUGGACUGGUCCUGACACUCAUGAGCGAAAGCGUGGGGAGCGAUCCGG